GUGUGUGUUUCAGCGGUAGAGCAUUCCCCUAGCAUGGGCGAGGCCCUUUGUUCAAUCCUCAGCACCACA
rnacentral:tRNA from 1 species